rnacentral:rRNA from 1 species
GCUUACGGCCAUACCUACCCUGAGCGCGCCCGAUCUCGUCUGAUCUCGGAAGCUAAGCAGGGUCGGGCCUGGUUAGUACUUGGAUGGGAGACCGCCUGGGAAUACCAGGUGCUGUAAGCU